UACGUAGGGUGCGAGCGUUGUCCGGAAUUAUUGGGCGUAAAGGGCUCGUAGGCGGUUUGUCGCGUCGGGAGUGAAAACCUCGGGCUUAACUCGGGGCUUGCUUUCGAUACGGGCAGACUGGAGGUAUGCAGGGGAGAACGCAAUUCCUGGUGUAGCGGUGAAAUGCGCAGAUAUCAGGAGGAACACCGGUGGCGAAGGCGGUUCUCUGGGCAUGACCUGACGCUGAGGAGCGAAAGCCAGGGGAGCAAACGGG
rnacentral:rRNA from 1 species